CAGCAGCCGCGGUAAUACGUAGGGUGCGAGCGUUGCCCGGAUUUAUUGGGCGUACAGCGCGCGCAGGCGGACCGAGACGUGCCGUGUGACAACUCACCGCUCACCGGUGAGAGGCCAGGGUAAACGGACGGUCUGGAGGGUUGGAGAGGGAUGUGGAAUACCCGGUGGAGCGGUGAAAUGCGUAGAGAUCGGGUGGAACACCAGAGGCGAAGGCGGCAUCCUGGCCAAUACCUGACGCUGAGGCGCGAGAGCGUGGGGAGCAAACGGGAUUAGAUACCCCGGUAGUCCACGCCGUAAACGAUGCGGACUAGGUGUCGGGGGUAUCGACCCCCUCGGCGCCGCAGCUAACGCAUUAAGUCCGCCGCCUGGGGACUACGGCCGCAAGGCUAAAACUCAAAGGAAUUGACGG
rnacentral:rRNA from 1 species